AUAUUUUUUUUUGUUUUACGCCCCGUAACUCUUCCUCAGCCAGGCUUGGUCAAAAUAGCAGAGCAAGUCAAAAU
rnacentral:tRNA from 1 species